GGUCUUUUACGUCUGGAUUUGGGAGGCGUUGUGUCGUUUUCGGAACAAUGGCUCUCAGUGGCAUAACGGAGCUGUUACCUGGAGAUGUUCACAUACAAAGGAAAACUAGAAAAUACGUGAGGGAAUAUUUGCUGGGAAAUUACUUGGUUGGAACCUGACCCUUUUACCCAGCAUCCUGGGAGUUGAUGAAUACUAACAGACCUACAAAUGUCACUGGCUAGCAACGUAAUUUUUAAAUGAGGGGUCGCUGUCUUUCCAUUGAAAGAGGCCAGUUUGCUGUGACCUUCCUAAGAUGUAACCCGUUUCUGGUUAAUACCACCAGAUUUACUUGUGAAAAAUCGAUAAGGAAAAGCUCUUCAUUUAACUGACAUGGGAAGAAAACCUACAAAUCAAGACAAUAUUUUUUUAUUUCUGUAAACAGGUUAUGAAACUGCAUCAGAUUCAGAUUAAUGUAUUUGUAAGAUUUAAGCCAUUACUUUUUAUGUCAUACUGCCCUAGAGAAUCCUAACCUGUUAAGUAGAUUACUUUGUAGAUCUAUUUCUAUUUUAAAUACAGGAAUGCAAAGGAAGGUACAUAUUUUUAAUGGAGAAGUCUUUGAUUUCAGUUAACCAGACUUGUAAUCAGCUUAUUGUGAAUGUUUCACCUUUGGCCACCUGUUUGAAUUUAAAAUCUACAAUUGUAAUUAAAGCUGAGUGAAAAUUUACACUGAAUAUUGUGGAAAAGUCCUUAGAUUUUUAUGGAGAGAUGACUCAUUUUGGCAGUAUCACACGGUACAGAUCAUGUUGGGUUUUGUAGCGUACUGAAUAUUACCGGAUUAGUGGUGAGCAAAACGGAAAGACUGAGUCUAUUACUGGGGGAGGGGAAAAUACCAGGCGUUACUGGUUCUAAUUAUUGAAUUCUGGAAUGUUUGGUCCUAAUGAAUUACAGUUUGAAAGGAUGCUUAAGAUGGAAAAUGUGAGGGACACCUUGGUGGCUCGGUAAAACAUCUCAGCUCCUCCAUGCUGGGCAUGAAACCUACUUUAAAAAAAAAAGAUGGGAAAAUGUGGAAUGCUGAAAAUGAAGAGAGCACAGCAUGACAACGGGUCAUGGGGGAAGUUCACUGAUAAAACCAAACAUUGCAUAGAAUGGAUUUAGUGUAGACAGUAAUAGCAUCUGAUCUAACCAAGAUGGUUUGGCCCCAUGCAUGAUCAUUUUCCCUAAAUAGCUACAUGAAUAAAUUGUUGCUAAGCCUAUACUUCAGUGUUAGUCAAAAGAAUAUUCUUGUCAGCUUAUGAUUAUGAACUACCUUUUUUCCUAAAAUGUUUUCUUAGUGAAAAUACGUUGGACCCAUGUAGUUUAAGAGGCUCAGUGACAACCAUGCCAUUUAGUGGGUAGGUACAUAGUAGAUUUGCUCAUGUAUUGCAAUGGUGUACAAAAUGCACCUUGGAAAAUGUAUAUUGAAGCCAUAUUAAAAUAGGUAUUAAUGCUGUCAGACUUCAAAUAAUCUGGGUCUCCACACACUUAUAUGGUAGGUGCAAGGAAUUCCACAGUGGCCAUACAGUCAAGAGAACAUAUAGAAUGAACUGUAAGUCUGCAGGAAAUAACCAUGCUUUACAUGGAUUAUUCAUAGGAAGCAAGAGUUCCCUAAACUGAGACACCAAGGUGUGGUCCCCUUAAUGCAAAGGCCUUAAGGCUUGCUAAAAUCCAGCAAAGGGAAAAGCCACUUGGUAUAAUAGAUUACAUGUGUAAUGGGAUUUUGCUAUAUUAACAAAAGAAAAGUGGUUGGGGUCUGUACAACCUUUUCAAGAAACUACCCUUUUUGACAAAGCUGGCACCUCACUUCAAAACAAGUUGUGAAAUAGAUAAAAUUUGCUUUGGAGCACUCUGACCUCUUCCUGCAAUUUCUAUUGUUGCUCCUUACCCUCUCAAUUGAUCUGGUAAUAUGCCACAUGUCUUUAGUUUAUUAUAAUGUGCAUUUUAUGGAUUGCAGUGUUACUGGGCUCUGCUAAGGAGGUUAGAAGUAAAACACUUCCUAUGUCCUCAUUUUGUUAAUAGCGACAUGAAAUGCCAAGAAAACCAAAGGCAGGCUAUAAAGAAAGUGAGAGAAAAAAUGUCUUGAGAUUGAAGAAGUGGAUUUGAGUCAAAACCAUCUCAGAUGAGAUGUGAGAAAGAUAACAUUUUUGGCAUAAACACUUGGAGCAAAGAUUAUAUGCUCCAGGACCUCAGAAUGAUGAAUUUGAAAUUUAGGUAUCAAUUGUGUGGUUAGAUGUAGGACAAACAAGGUAGAAGAUAGGCUGAAAUGUUUUGGGGUGACAGUAAAAACCUAUGGUUAUUUGAAUUCCCUAAAACAUUUUCAGGGGGAAGGCACAUAGCAGAAAAUCACAUUUAGUCCCUUUGACUCUAUACAGAGUGUACACUUGAACAAGUAAGUCAGGUCCAAAAAGGUACGCUUUAGUGGAAUUAAGCUUGAAAGCUCAACAUGU